rnacentral:rRNA from 1 species
UACGUAGGGGGCUAGCGUUGUCCGGAAUCAUUGGGCGUAAAGCGCGUGUAGGCGGCCCGGUAAGUCCGCUGUGAAAGUCGGGGGCUCAACCCUCGAAUGCCGGUGGAUACUGUCGGGCUAGAGUACGGAAGAGGCGAGUGGAAUUCCUGGUGUAGCGGUGAAAUGCGCAGAUAUCAGGAGGAACACCCAUUGCGAAGGCAGCUCGCUGGGACGUUACUGACGCUGAGGCGCGAAAGCGUGGGGAGCAAACAGG